UACGGAGGGUGCAAGCGUUAUCCGGAUUCACUGGGUUUAAAGGGUGCGUAGGCGGGCAGGUAAGUCAGAGGUGAAAUCUCCGGGCUUAACCCGGAAACUGCCUUUGAUACUAUCUAUCUUGAAUAUUGUGGAGGUAAGCGGAAUAUGUCAUGUAGCGGUGAAAUGCUUAGAGAUGACAUAGAACACCUAUUGCGAAGGCAGCUUACUACGCAGAGAUUGACGCUCAUGCACGAAAGCGUGGGGAGUCAAACAGGA
rnacentral:rRNA from 1 species